rnacentral:rRNA from 1 species
AGUGGCGGACUGGUGAGUAACGCGUGAGAAUCUGCCUUGGGGUCGGGGACAACCACUGGAAACGGUGGCUAAUACCGGAUAAGCCGAUUGGUGAAAGAUUUAUUGCCCGAAGAGGAGCUCGCGUCUGAUUAGCUAGUUGGUGAGGUAAGAGCUCACCAAGGCAGCGAUCAGUAGCUGGUCUGAGAGGACGAUCAGCCACACUGGGACUGAGACACGGCCCAGACUCCUACGGGAGGCAGCAGUGGGGAAUUUUCCGCAAUGGGCGAAAGCCUGACGGAGCAAGACCGCGUGAGGGAGGAAGGCUCUUGGGUUGUAAACCUCUUUUCUCAGGGAAGAAGCUCUGACGGUACCUGAGGAAUCAGCCUCGGCUAACUCCGUGCCAGCAGCCGCGGUAAUACGGAGGAGGCAAGCGUUAUCCGGAAUUAUUGGGCGUAAAGCGUCCGCAGGUGGCGAUUCAAGUCUGCUGUCAAAGCACGGGGCUUAACUCCGUAAAGGCAGUGGAAACUGAAUAGCUAGAGUGCCGUAGGGGUAGAGGGAAUUCCCGGUGUAGCGGUGAAAUGCGUAGAGAUCGGGAAGAACAUCGGUGGCGAAAGCGCUCUACUGGACGGCAACUGACACUCAGGGACGAAAGCUAGGGGAGCGAAUGGGAUUAGAUACCCC